UAAUAGUUUUUUAAACAAUAUGUCAAUAGUUAUAAUACACCAGAUAUAUAAUUAUAUAAUAAUGUCAAUAGUUAUGGUACACAUCCUUUGCCACUAUUUAAAUUUAUGAUGAAAAAGUUUAGGUGCAAAUUUUAAAAUGUGUGAGGGACUAUAGUUUUCCGAAAUUAUUUUAGGGAGCAUAGAAGCAGAGCCUAACGACGACUCAUUUAGGAGCCAGGGCCUAGGACUGAAUCAAAUCUAUUUUUCCCAGUGGUAAUAUAGACUCCAUCUUUAGAAUUAUAAUAAUCACUUUAUUUCCUUCUUCAGUGGUUAAAAAAAAAAAGCUGUAAGAAAAUCUCAGUAAUUAGCUGUUACUCAGUAAUAAGGAGAAAACAUCUAGAGUAUUUAGCUUUAAAUAACUUCUGACUGCAGAUGAUUCACAAACUUAAAGUUUUCACCCAGACCUCUCCUCUGCGUUCUAGAUGUACAUUUCCACCUACCUGACACAAGUCCACAUGGCAUCUCUGACAGGCAGUUUGCCCAGCCAUGUCUGCUGUUCCAAUUCUGAUGCUGUAAUUCCCCUCCCAGAACCUCACACUGGUUUCCCUUCUCAAUAAAUGUGCCUUCCCUUAGAGUUUUAGGUACCGCGGCCCCCAUGCUCUCAUUACUGUGGCUGCCUGGAGUGUGGAGGAUGAAAAAAUAAGAAAAGGGGGAAAAAAAAGAUUAAAAACAACAACAAAAAAACCUAAGUGAUUUUUUUUUCUGUUUUCUAGGAGCAUUAGAGAUCUCCUUUCUUGCUCAUUGGACCAGAACUAGAGCCUUCUUCUGGAAUUCUCUCUGUCUAGGCCUGGUUUCCACUUCUGGUUUUGGGCUAUCCUGAGUCCCGGCUAGGAGACCCUGGAGAGAAAAGAAAAUGGGAAACUCCCUUCUGGUUCAGCAGGACUUCAGUUUUCUUCUUUCCCUAUCUGCCUGCUACCAUUUCAUUUUAGAGUACUCAUGUAUUCUGCCCCUUUUAUGUCUGCAUUCAGUGGGUGGGACAGGAUAGAGUCAGCUUACGUCGAAAUGGAACCUCUGUAUUCUGUAUCUUAACUUCUUAUCGUAGAAUAAGCAUUUUCCAUUUUGAUGAAACAGUUAAUGGGUGCAUACCACACUCUUGAUUGGACGUUUAGGUUGUUUCCAGUUUCUCCCUAUUAUAAAUUGUGAUGAGUUCAUAGUUAGAACACAGGGGAGUCUCUCUUUCUGUGGGGGCCUGGGCCUUCCAAACAAAUUCCUGUUACAGUGAGACUCUUCACCACUAGACUGUCUUUUAAAUUAGCUGAAGCUAGUAGUUGUUAAGUUAUAAGCAAGAUCAAGCAACUCUAUCCAUAGUCCAGUAGUUUGAAUUUAGGGGCAGAUGUAUUUGACCUGUAAGACUGAUAGCAGUGUAAUUGAGGGUGCAUGGGUGGUCCAGAGCAGGCAAGCCUGACCUUUACUGAAAAGACGCACAUAUAUAUCUGAAUAGUCCCAUAAACGUUAGAGCCCUCUGACUCUCUGUCUGUCUGUCUGUCUGUCUCUCUCUCUCUCGAACAACCUGGCAUAGUAAGAUGUUGGUUACUGUGAUGUGUUACACCUGCUGGAACCUGCAGAAAGCAUUACUUUUCUCUCCUGUGGUUAUGAAGCAGACCCUGUGAUCUUGGGAGACCCACAGGCUUUCAGAUACUCCCAUUUCUCUCCAUUGCCAGUACACUCUGCCUCUUCCCUGGAGUGGUGGGAGUUAUAGCCCUUACUCUCUCCUGGGGGUAGGGACCCUCAUCUUUCCAUCUCAGCGAGUCUGCGGAGGGCAUGAGGUGGCAUAAAGCUUGUGUUUCUUUCUGUCAUGUGUCAUACAUCCAUGUUCUCUGUGUAAGGGCUCUCUUGAUUGGAGAAAAAAGAACCAGAUUUUAGUUCCAACUUAGGUAGUAGGAAAUUACUCCCAUUUUCUUCUGUCAGAAUUCAUCUGUCUAAAGGGUUAGAUUUCUCUCCAGAAAGAUGGUAGCAAUUUACAUUUCCACUGAAAUAUAUAAAAGUGCCCAUAUCACCACACCCUCACCAGUAAUUCUCAUUUAUAAUGUUUAUUAAUUUGACAGAUGAAGCAUGGCAGUUUCUUGUUUGAAAUGUUAUCUCUUUAAUUGCCUGUGAAGUGGAACAUUUUUCCAUGUUCACUGCCAGUUGAAUUUCUUCUUUGUGAAUUGUUCUUGUUCAUUGCCCAUCUAUUUCCCAAGUGUUAUAUUUUUAAAGAUCUAACAUUUUAUAUUUAUCAUUUAGAAAAAUCAGCAGUGGAAAUAUGAAGAUGUAUAACAAAACUCUAUUCUCUAGUUCUGAAAUCAUUUUACUGCAUUAUGUAUUCUAGGUCUACAUAGAAGAACGGUGGCAAAUUUUGCAUUAAUACUGAAAUCUAGAAAGCCUCUAAAAAUCUAAAUUAAGAUAAUGUCCUAAGUGUUCUUCUUCCAACUUUUUGAGCAAACCAGUUACCAAUGCUCUUCUUCCUGCCCUGCCUGCCCUCUGGUGGAGGUGUUAAAGAGCAGGCCUGGAGAUCAAGCAAGCCAUAAGGGAACUAGAAGUUGUGAAAAAGACCAGGCCAAGCAGAUGCAUCCUCUCUAGACUUUGAUUCAAGAACUGGUGACUCAAAGCAGCAGGGAUGACGCAGAAUCCGUUCUGGCCAGGGCAUAGCAGCAAUGGCAGCUGCAUCCGGUUUCCAGUGGUGGGAGAGACAGCUGUUCUGUGGCAGUGUGCAGUGUCCAGCAUCCAAGGACUUGGCAUUGCAAAUUACGAGAGAGAACAUGAGUGAGGAAUGGGCAGAGAGAGAGGGAGACACAG